rnacentral:rRNA from 1 species
UACGGAGGUUGCAAGCGUUGUUCGGAAUUACUGGGCGUAAAGGGGGCGCAGGCGGUUCGCCAAGUUGAAAGUGGAAGCCCGGGGCUCAACCCCGGGUUGUCUUUCAAUACUAGCGAACUUGAGUUUGGGAGAGGAAAGCGGAAUUCCGGGUGUAGCGGUGAAAUGCGUAGAUAUCCGGAGGAACACCGAUGGCGAAGGCGGGUCUCUGGGCCGAUACUGACGCUGAGGAGCGAAAGCGUGGGGAGCGAACAGG